rnacentral:tRNA from 1 species
UGCGUAAUAGUGUAUAAGCACAUAGGACCUUGGCCCCUAAAGUAUGCGCAU